CCGCGUGCCUUAUCAUGCAGUCGAGCGGACGAUUCAAAAGCUUGCUUUUGGAUCGUUAGCGGCGGACGGGUGAGUAACACGUGGGCAACCUGCCCUGUAGACGGGGAUAACACCGAGAAAUCGGUGCUAAUACCGGAUAACACGAAAGGUCGCAUGGUCUUUCGUUGAAAGACGGCGCAAGCUGUCGCUACAGGAUGGGCCCGCGGCGCAUUAGCUAGUUGGUGAGGUAACGGCUCACCAAGGCGACGAUGCGUAGCCGACCUGAGAGGGUGAUCGGCCACACUGGGACUGAGACACGGCCCAGACUCCUACGGGAGGCAGCAGUAGGGAAUCUUCCGCAAUGGACGAAAGUCUGACGGAGCAACGCCGCGUGAGCGAAGAAGGCCUUCGGGUCGUAAAGCUCUGUUGUUAGGGAAGAACAAGUACCGCAGUCACUGGCGGUACCUUGACGGUACCUAACGAGGAAGCCACGGCUAACUACGUGCCAGCAGCCGCGGUAAUACGUAGGUGGCAAGCGUUGUCCGGAAUUAUUGGGCGUAAAGCGCGCGCAGGCGGUUCCUUAAUUCUGAUGUGAAAACCCACGGCUCAACCCUGGAAGGUCCAUUGGAAACUGGGGGNACUUGAANUGCAAAAAAAGAAAACCGAAAUUC
rnacentral:rRNA from 1 species